UUUUUUUUUUUUUUUUUAAAAAAAUUCAUCAGCUAUUUUAUAUGCUCCUUCGUAAAGAUACAUAUCUAUGUGUUUGAUGGCAAGCACAUAAAUACAACACAAUGACAUCCGGGUAUAGUUUCAACGUGUCACAUUUGGGAAGAAGCUGACCAAAACAAUCGAAGGCAGCUUCGGUAUCAACCAGAUGGCUCUUCCACAAUGAAGAAAAACAUCAUAUCGUGUGUCUAUACUGUCUUAACCAUAAUUCCAAACCCCUCUUGGAACAGCCGUUCAAGUGAGCUGGCAAUUAAGUUACUGCAGGCAAUCGAAUGCAGAUGCAAAAAGCCACCCGUUACCUCUUGACGCUUUUGUUCUGCAGCCCUUUGAAAACAUUUCAUCAAGGGCUCUUGUGCUUCUAUGCCAUCAAACAAGCAGGUUGUUAAUACUGGAAACUUGUGAGCUCCCAUCAUGUGUCCAACAGAAAGAAAACAAACCAAUUUCGUACAUGGAAAGACUGUUUAACCCCUCACUCCAAGUCAACUUGCUUUGCUGCAUUGCAUCUCGCAAGACCACCCUUGGUCGAUUGCAGUCCCAAGGCAUUAGCAAACAUCCUCUUUGCAGCUCCCAAGUGUUCCUCUUUUGAGUAUUCCUUGACACGAUUUCUACUUGAUCCAUUAGUAGAACUCCUUCCAAAUGGCUCAUGGGGCAAAUUCCUCUGAGCAGGUGAUGAUGCAUUGCAGUCAUGGUUAUUGCUCUUCGCUUUACGAAGUGGAUCGAUAUUUUUCACAGGCUGGACACUGGCUUCCUUAAGGCCUUCCAAACCAGAAUUGGGAUCAAUUUUAUUCUUGUCUGGAACAUUCAACUCAGUGGUCUGAACUUCAUGUCCUUCGCAAUUCUUAACAGAAGCAUCUUGAUUCCAUGGACUUAUUUUUUGGCCCAAUGCAUGAGCAAUCAUUCGACGGGCAACCACAGGCACACUUCGUGGCUUCUGCUUCUGAGGCUCUUUCAUCUCUUCCUCAUCCAUUGAAAAAAUUCGUUCACGAGCUGCCAAAUAAGCUGCUUCUCUCUCCUCCAGUGUAAGGAAAGGUGACUUUGCCUUCAAUACUGGAGGAGCAUUGUUUCUCCUCAAUAAUUGGUGUGAUCUUGUAAGAGGCUGAGAUUCUUCAUACUGAAACAAGAUGUCACUUACAAGGAUAGAAGGUAUUGAUGUCUCUGAGCAUCGCUCUAAAACUAAAUGCCGCUCAUCUCCUUCACCAACAGACGCAUGAGCAAAUCUAGCACCAAACAAAACAGUAUUACGCUUGUAACCCUAUGAAAAAAAAAAAAGUUAACAGUAAACAUAAAGUACAAAUUUCUCUAGCUAAUAGUUUGGUUUGAAAAAUAAGUAAAUACCC
rnacentral:misc_RNA from 1 species